rnacentral:rRNA from 1 species
GACGAACGCUGGCGGCGUGCCUAAUACAUGCAAGUCGAACGCUUCUUUCCUCCCGAGUGCUUGCACUCAAUUGGAAAGAGGAGUGGCGGACGGGUGAGUAACACGUGGGUAACCUACCCAUCAGAGGGGGAUAACACUUGGAAACAGGUGCUAAUACCGCAUAACAGUUUAUGCCGCAUGGCAUAAGAGUGAAAGGCGCUUUCGGGUGUCGCUGAUGGAUGGACCCGCGGUGCAUUAGCUAGUUGGUGAGGUAACGGCUCACCAAGGCCACGAUGCAUAGCCGACCUGAGAGGGUGAUCGGCCACACUGGGACUGAGACACGGCCCAGACUCCUACGGGAGGCGGCAGUAGGGAAUCUUCGGCAAUGGACGAAAGUCUGACCGAGCAACGCCGCGUGAGUGAAGAAGGUUUUCGGAUCGUAAAACUCUGUUGUUAGAGAAGAACAAGGACGUUAGUAACUGAACGUCCCCUGACGGUAUCUAACCAGAAAGCCACGGCUAACUACGUG